rnacentral:rRNA from 1 species
CACAGUGAGGAAUAUUGGACAAUGGGSGCAAGUCUGAUCCAGCCAUGCCGCGUGCAGGAAGACUGCCCUAUGGGUUGUAAACUGCUUUUAUACAGGAAGAAACACUCCCACGUGUGGGAGCUUGACGGUACUGUAAGAAUAAGGAUCGGCUAACUCCGUGCCAGCAGCCGCGGUAAUACGGAGGAUCCAAGCGUUAUCCGGAAUCAUUGGGUUUAAAGGGUCCGUAGGYGGAUAAUUAAGUCAGAGGUGAAAUCCUGCAGCUCAACUGUAGAAUUGCCUUUGAUACUGGUUGUCUUGARUUAUUAUGAAGUAGUUAGAAUAUGUAGUGUAGCGGUGAAAUGCAUAGAUAUUACAUAGAAUACCAAUUGCGAAGGCAGAUYACUAAUAAUAUACUGACACUGAUGGACGAAAGCGUGGGGAGCGAACAGGAUUAGAUACCCUGGUAGUCCACGCCGUAAACGAUGGWCACUAGCUGUUCGGACUUCGGUCUGAGUGGCUAAGCGAAAGUGAUAAGUAACCCACCUGGGGAGUACGUUCGCAAGAAUGAAACUCAA